CAUUGGCAUUGAAAGAAAAGGGUAAAUCGCUCAAGGAUCUCUGUUUUACCGACGAGGCGACAGAACUGAGCACUGUCUAAGAAAACACACUAGGUGCCAGUUGGUCAGUUAAAGAUGAGAAAUCUCGGAGAUUGCACCUACAAAAAUGGCGAGAUUUGCUUUAUUUUUAUUGAAAUAUAUUAGAUAUGUAUUUACUUGCACCAUGCAUAAAACAAAGUAAACCCAAUGUUUAAAUCUGGUAAAUUAAAAAAUUAGUGAAUUGAUAGGAUGUUAUCAGACAGUUUAAUUUUUGAAUAAAAAUAUUUACCUACAGGUUCCUCCUGGAUGGCUUUCAAAAUUCCAACUACCGUCGAGGUUUUCUGCCUCAGAAGAGUUGGAUAUCCAGAAGGGAUAUCUCAUCAGCAGCCUAAAGUACUCUGAGCAGCAGUGGAUUGCAAAAAAAAAAUAUUGCAGAGUAUCCUUGUAUGGCUAGCAGGAUACUAGACAAAGUUGACUUGGAAACUGAAUGGAUUGGUAUGGUUUAAAAAUCUAUUGCUUCACCUCUUCUGCUUGCAGUGAAGAGAGACAAUUUUGUGGUGCUGAAUCUCUUGCCUUAAACUAAAAAGUUGCAAAAUAACCACUCUCCCCUUUUAAGUCCAUGACCUUUGUUCUUGUGUGUUUGCCAUCACAUAUGCAUUGAAUGAAGUUGUGACCAUUUUGGAGGUACAAGUCCAAAAAACUACUACUUUGGUACUAAGAUGAACAGCUAAAAUUUCUGAGCCCAUUUGCCAAUGAAGUCCAGAUACAAAGGUUCAAGUACUUUGGGGUUGUAUUAAUUUUGCCUUCUUUUUGUUUAGUUUUCUUGAUUUUGCAAUUUUUUAAAAAAUUCCUGUUGUGAAACCAUUAGAUAAAUAUUACAAAUGGAAUAGCUGAUUCUUUUCAGAUAUUUUGGGAGUCAAACAUCAGUUUUUCAAGUCUUGAAGGGGAGACAAAUUACACACACUGAGCUAAACUUCCACUUCCAUUUCUGGUGUUUUAGCUUAUAGUUUUAGAAAAACAUUACAUAUAUAUAUAUAUGUAAAUGUGGGGGUAGAGUCUACCUUGGCAUAAAAUGCUCAAUGCUGUGGUAGCAGA